rnacentral:rRNA from 1 species
CCCGCUGAACUUAAGCAUAUCAAUAAGCGGAGGAAAAGAAACUAACAAGGAUUCCCCUAGUAACGGCGAGUGAAGAGGGAAGAGCUCAAAUUUUGAAUCUGGCGUCUUUGGCGUCCGAAUUGUAAUCUAGAGAGGUGUUUUCCGUGACGGACCGUGCACAAGUCUCCUGGAAUGGAGCGUCAUAGAGGGUGAGAAUCCCGUAUAUGGCAUGGACUGCCGUUGCUCUGUGAUACACUCUCGACGAGUCGAGUUGUUUGGGAAUGCAGCUCUAAAUGGGUGGUAAAUGCCAUCUAAAGCUAAAUAUUGGCGAGAGACCGAUAGCGAACAAGUACCGUGAGGGAAAGAUGAAAAGCACUUUGGAAAGAGAGUGAAACAGUACGUGAAAUUGUUGAAAGGGAAACGCUUGAAGUCAGUCGCGCCGUUCGGGAUUCAGCCUUGCUUCUGCUCGGUUUACUUCCUGUUGGGUGGGUCAACAUCAGUUUUGGUCGGAGGAGAAAGGCUUGGGGAAUGUGGCAGCAUUCGUGCUGUGUUAUAGCCCCUUGUUGUAUACUUCGGCUGGGACUGAGGACCGCAGCACGCCUUUGGCCGGGGUUCGCCCACGUACGUGCUUAGGAUGUUGGCAUAAUGGCUUUAAGCGACCCGUCUUGAAAACACG